UGUCCAGUAGCGCCUUAGAGACCAACUAAGUUUGUUCUGGGUAUAAGCUUUUGUGUGCAUGCAUAUACCCAGAACAAACUUAGUUGGUCUCUAAGGUACUACUGGAGA